AUUAUGGCGGUAUUUUUAACUUUUCAGAGGAAUUUGCUCUUUAAUGGAUAAAACACCAAAAUCUUACUAAAAUUAGUGAAAUCAGUUUGUAUACCACUAUGAAAGUAAUACUUUACUAAUAAAUUACUUUAAUUUUUUAUAAAUAAAAAAUUAAAUUAAGUCAAGGUGCAGUAAAAAUUUUUGAAUGAAGUGAAUUACAUUACUUAAUAGAGAAAAGACUAUGAAAUUAAUUUAACUUAGGAUUUGAAAGUAAAUUUUUAAUAAAAUGAUUUAUUGAAAAAAGUUCAAAAAUAUGUAC
rnacentral:rRNA from 1 species